AGACCAGUUUGUUGAUUGUUCGUAGUUUCGUGUGUGUGUGCGGGAAGUUUUGUUUGCCUAAGUGCUGUGAAAAAGGUCGUGAGUGUGCUGUGGCAAUGCUGUUCAAGUUUGUGAGAGUGCACUAUCAACAAGAACAGUUGCCCAUUGCAAUUCAUUGUGUCUGCUUUGUUAACAUAUCUGCCCGGUGGAAUGCUACUGAACUGUACAUGCCAUUGUAAAAAUCUACUUGAUAUUCAUAAUGUGGAACAACAGAGCAACAUGUAAAGGCUCCAUCACAGAGUUUCAUCCUCAGUGGGCAUAGGACCUUCAGGUCGAGCAUCAACACAUCCACAAGGGUUUUCAGGUGGAGUCAGUGUUGUGCGGACACCCCUUGUUGUGCAGUGUUGUGUGGAUAGCUACUCAUUUCUAGGAAGGAACAUUGUGGUGUGCUUUCCUCGCAAGACAUUGAUGUACAUUGUGUGCAAUUUAUGCAUCAUGCACAGUUGGCAUGGAAGUUCUGUGUAAUGAUAGGAAGAAAAUAUCAGGUAAGCGCAAAGCCCUGUCACCUUUACUGUUACAGCAAGUAUUUUCCUCAGUUGGCAGCUUUCUUAUCCAAGACGUCUGGGUACCGAACACUUGGGUUGAGCAGAACUGUAACUUAGUAGGCUACUCACGGACGGUUCUUGUUACCUGGGGCGAGUACAGGCGUAUGAGUCUAAUCUAAGUUGUGCUGUCAGGUCCACUUCAUCAUUCGCUGCAAGUACGCCCUACUACAGUAAAACCCCGUUAAACCGUACCUGGUGGUGACGCUGAAAAAUAUGUACAAAGCGGCACUACAGCAUAUCCAAAAAUACGAGAUAGUGCCUACCUUCAUACUAAAGUGAUGGGAACAACAAUUAAAGUGU